rnacentral:rRNA from 1 species
GACGAACGCUGGCGGCGUGCUUAACACAUGCAAGUCGAACGAUGAACCCGGAGCUUGCUCCGGUGGAUUAGUGGCGAACGGGUGAGUAACACGUGAGUAACCUGCCCUUGACUCUGGGAUAACUGCGGGAAACUGUAGCUAAUACCGGAUACGACCCUCGGCGGCAUCGCCAGGGGGUGGAAGGAAUUUCGGUCAAGGAUGGAGUCGGGGCCUAUCAGCUAGUUGGUGAGGUAACGGCUCACCAAGGCGACGACGGGUAGCCGGCGUGAGAGGGGGACCGGCCAGAGUGGGACUGAAACACGGCCCAGACUCGUACGGGAAGCAGGAGUGGGGAAUAUUGCACAAUGGGCGCAAGCCUGAUGCAGCAACGCCGCGUGAGGGAUGACGGCCUUCGGGUUGUAAACCUCUUUGAGUAGGGAAGAAGCGAAAGUGACGGUACCUGCAGAAAAAGCACCGGCUAACUACGUGCCAGCAGCCGCCGUAA